AUCCAAGGUAUAUAGAGUGAAUUAGAUUAGAACACGGAAUGUACAUUUUACAACAUAACAAGUUACACCUUCAGCAUCUGCGAAUUAAAUAUUGUAACGGCUACAAGAUGGCUGCCAACAAUAUCUAUGUCUUUGUAUUUGCUGUACUGAUAUCAUUCAACUUCGUAUUUGCUGAGGAAGCAGAACAUAACAUCAGCGAACACAAAAAGUUCAGUUUUUUCAGCUCCUUUGGCAUCUUUUUGAACCGUAACAGUUGUAACUACACUAGUGAGCCGGGAUUGUCAUGCAACGGAUGCAGAGCAGUAAGACUUUGCCUCCCCAACAACACUGGCAUUACUAUUGAGUGUACUAUGUCCCAUCCUUAUUGUGACAGCGGCCUUUGUUUGACAUCUCCCACUGCCUCUUGCAGCAACUCUACAGGAUCAGAAUAAAUUAUAUUCAGGUUGUUCGAGUGUGUUGACUACCCUGGCAGUAAUAAAGGCUUGUUAUUUUAUGUAUUUAAUAAUUGAAACCAUAGCGUGAAAGUAGAAUAUUUCAAAAAUACGA